rnacentral:rRNA from 1 species
AUUGAACGCUGGCGGCAGGCCUAACACAUGCAAGUCGAACGAGCGGCGGACGGGUGCGUAAUGUCUGGGAAACUGCCUGAUGGAGGGGGAUAACUACUGGAAACGGUAGCUAAUACCGCAUACCCUCGGAUGUGCCCAGAUGGGAUUUGCUAGUAGGUGGGGUAACGGCUCACCUAGGCGACGAUCCCUAGCUGGUCUGAGAGGAUGACCAGCAACACUGGAACUGAGACACGGUCCAGACGCCUACGGGAAGCAGCAGUGGGGAAUAUUGCACAAUGGGCGCAAGCCUGAUGCAGCCAUGCCGCGUGUAUGAAGAAGGCCUUCGGGUGGUAAAGUACUUUCAGCGGGGAGGCGUUACCCGCAGAAGAAGCACCGGCUAACUCCGUGCCAGCAGCCGCGGUAAUUC